ACCUGGGAACUUUCGUUUGGGAAGGAAGGAGAGGAGGAAUGUGAAUGCGAUGAGAUCGGCGGUGGUGGUGCUCGGAGCAUUGGCAUUUGGGUACCUAACUCUGCAGCUCGGAUUCAAGCCAUAUCUUGAAAGAGCCCAAAUUGCUGCUGACCAAUCUGAGCUCUCUUCUUCCUCAGAGCAACUACAACAAGAACAAGAACAACCCAACUCGAGCUCAACCCGCCAUUUCUAAGCCCUUUUGGCCGCGGCCAGAUGCAGAGGCCUUUUGAGGAGGCAACAUUCUCUCUCAAGGUUGGGGAGAUAAGUGAAAUUGUGGAUACAGACAGUGGAGUUCAUAUCAUCCUGAGGACCGGUUGAUCAGUUGGAAGUGAAACUUGUUGAUUUUUGAGCAUCCAAGUUUAUCAGUAAUAUAUGGAUUGUUGCUUUCUUUUGUUAUUGCCAAUGACUAGCCAUUCAUAGUGUAUGAAGCAAAAUUGGCUAACUAGAUGGAUUUGAACACUUCUUUUGAUAACAUUUAUUAUGGGAAUUUUAUGGUUGUGAUUUGGAACUUUGGAUUUCCUAUGAAGUUUUAUUCUGUGUAUUUCACAAUUCUGAUGUUAUGGCUAAUAAUAACUUUGAUCUGAAGUAUCA